AGUACGAGAGGACCGGAGUGGACGCACCGCUGGUGUACCAGUUGUCAUACCAAUGGCAUUGCUGGGUAGCUAUGUGCGGAAUAGAUAAGCGCUGAAAGCAUAUUAAGCGCGAAACUAGCCUCAAGAUGAGAUUUCCCUAUGAGGACCGUGAAAGACGAUCACGUUGAUAGGCGCAAGGUGGAAGUACGGUAACGUAUGGAGCCGAAGCGUACUAAUCGUCCCAUUGACUUUUUACG
rnacentral:rRNA from 1 species